rnacentral:tRNA from 1 species
GGGGUUGUGGCUUAGUGGUAGAGCACCUGUCUAGCACAUGUGAGGCCCUGGGUUCGAUCCUCAGCACCA